rnacentral:misc_RNA from 1 species
GAAAUGCGAUAAGUAGUGUGAAUUGCAGAAUUCAGUGAAUCAUCGAAUCUUUGAACGCACAUUGCGCCCUUUGGUAUUCCUUAGGGCAUGCCUGUUCGAGCGUCAUCUAAACCUUCAAGCCCUGCUUGGUGUUGGGUGCCUGUCCCGCCUCCGCGCGCGGACUCACCUCAAAUCCAUUGGCGGCCCCCGCGUCGGCCACGAGCGCAGCAGAAACGCGAACUCGUGAGCCCGUCCGGGCGGCUCCCAGAAGCUACACCCACCCAGUUUGACCUCGGAUCAGGUAGGGAUACCCGCUGAACGUGAGC